AGUUGGUAGAGCAGGGGAUUGAAAAUCCCCGUGUCGGCGGUUCGAUUCCGUCCCUGGGCACCAUGAAUACGACGAA
rnacentral:tRNA from 1 species